rnacentral:rRNA from 1 species
GCAAGUCGAACGGACAGGUAAUGAAACCUAGUGAUUUAUCUGUUAGUGGCGGACGGGUGAGUAACGCGUGGGUAACCUGCCGUAUACAGGGGGAUAACACUUAGAAAUAGGUGCUAAAACCGCAUAAGCGCACAGGAUCGCAUGGUCCGGUGUGAAAAACUCCGGUGGUAUACGAUGGACCCGCGUCUGAUUAGCUUGUUGGCGGGGUAGAGGCCCACCAAGGCGACGAUCAGUAGCCGGCCUGAGAGGGUGAAC